ensembl:lincRNA
GGGAGUUUUACUUGGAAAAAAUGAACUCUAACCUUAUCUCACCGUGUCAAAAUGAGUCCCCGUGGUGUCUCUACAGACAGACCCUGGCCUCAACAGUCAGGCAGAUGUCUGCUUUUAGUACUAGAGAUUGACUGUGAUGAUGGCCCGUGUGUUACGUGCUCACUCUACCACUCAACUGAACCUACAGCCCCUCACUGUGUGUCCAGACCAGGCGCCUGCCUGAGACACACCCACAGUGCAUAGCGCCUGUUCAAACGCAGGCCUGAAAGCUGGGCUCAGCAGUCCCCAUGCGGGACCAAAACCCUAAGGCCCCAUCUAACCACACAGGCAUGAGAGCUCCUGGAGCCAAAGUUCUGGUCCAGCCUAACUCUGCAGAACCUGCACACCCUAGCCCCGGCCUGCUUGCUGGGGACGUAGUCUGCAGUAACCCCAAGAGCAACACAGCACACAAACCCCAGAAGUGGGGUGGUCUGCUGUGGUGGGGACGGGUUAAGGGUGCUGUUAGCGCCACUGCCCUGCCCUGUGACACAUGUCACCAGUAGAAAGAGGGAGUUGAAGCCAUAUAGGAAGAGCAGAGCUGAGGGUGUGGGCAGCAGUGCCAGGCGUACCUGCUCAUACCAGGAGGCCACAGUGCUUUCCAUGUACUGGUAGCUGGUAAAGAAGGCCACAAUGCCAUCAGGGACCACCGCGGACAUCUCGAGCAGGAGGUUGCCAUAGUUGCGGAUCACAGCUAGGAAGAGUAGGUUAAAGAUUGGAUCCUCUCCUGGCUCCCAUUGAGGCCACCUAACCAUAUUCCAAAUGCAUUCUCCCACGCGCAUUAGAGGGCUGUCUCCCAUUCCCUGAGGAUAUAUAACUUGUGACAGCAAAAGAGACAUAUAUAAGUGUUUCCUCCGUGUGACACUCAGGAGCCAGUGCCCAAAGUUUCAGGGGCCCGUGCUUAGGCUCAGUGGUGUUAGUGCAGACCUCCAAAUGAAGAAACCUAAGGCACUGAGGAUGGGAAGACCCCCUGUGCUAGCCAUAGAGCUUGGGGUCUUGCUAUGGCAGCAGGUCCUAGGCCACCCGACACCCACCCCAACCAAGCCUGCAGGUGACUCACCAAUAUCUUCUCUGGUCUCAAAUUUGGAGCUGAUCGCUACCUGGUCAUUACCACGGCCGAUGAUCUGGAAGAAUCAGGGUAAGGGCCUUGAGAUGACGUCCCAUGUAGCCCAGGCUGGCCUUCAGACUAGGAGCCUUCCUGAGGCUCUCCAUCCCCAAGCCCAUGAGAAGGCUCAUCUCCAGCCUCCUGAAGUUCUGUGCAGCCAAGGUGACCCUGGUUUUGCUGCCCCACCUCUGGAGUUGAGAUCACAGGCCUGUGCCCAGUGCCCAGCAUGCUAGGCAAGCGCUGGAGCAAACAAGGCCGAGUUCAGGUAAGCUUAUGGAGACAACAGAUUAGAUGGCCCAAGCCUAUGGCUGGCACUGCUUGGGCAAAUGCCUGGAGCUCAACCAUGAGCCACCUGCCCACAGUCACAGAGCAACAAGCCCCAGGGAAUGGCCCUCUGUGCUUCUAAGCAGGACUCUAUUCCAGCCUUGGGCAGUUCCAGACAUAGGUCACCCACAGCACACAUCCCAUUAGCAACCCUCCCCAGUCCACCAUGCCAGUGAGUGGUCAGAGAGACAGAUCCAAAACCCCCACAGCUCUGAACCUAACUGUCUAGCCCCUGCUGCCAAGCCACUGCCCUCUACCAAGUUCAUGCUCCAUAAGCAUGGGGUCUGGUUACAGCCCCCUCCCCUGUAAGGUUUAAGGGUUUCUCACUGUGUGCCAGGCAGCAUCCCGGCCACCCUUGGCUGCUUGUGGCCCGUGGGUUGAGCAUGCCUAGCUGCAGGGUUCUGAACUGCAAAGCCAUGAGGCUGAGGGGACGGCUCUGCCCCAGGCUUCAGAGGGAGGCUCAUUACUCAAGACACAGCUGGAUGUCAAGUGACAAAGCCAUCAACAUGCCAGGCACCACCUGCCCAGGCCUGCGUCGCACCAGCGUACACUGCGUGCAUGUGUCUAUGUGCCAUAGCCCGGUGAACCCACCAGACCUGAGCCUCAGCUGAGCAGCCGGCUGCCUUGGUCGAAGCCAGGAGGCAGGCGGGCCCCCCUGCCUCACCCACUCACCAUUGGGCAAAGGCAGACUCGGGCCAGCGUCAUGGUGAAGGUUGCCAUUGUGACAGGGUGGAAGUCUAGGAUCUUGGGGUAGAUGUCCAGUGGGGACAGUGUCUGUAGCGGAGGAGACAGCAAGGGAGACAUCAGCAGGAUGGCUGGGGACCAGGACCCCGAUGAAGGAACAGCAGAGUCCUCACCCCAGAAGUGAUGAUGACAGACUGGAAGCGUUCAAACACAGGCUUGAUGGCCAAGGAGGCGUCCAUACAGCUGCGGGACAACACAGGGGUCAACAUGGGGCAGAUGGCGGGGCCUGUCCCAUCCACACAGGGUUGCAUCUCACCUGAAGUGCAGAACAGGGUUGGCGAUGGUGGGGGUCCUGUCGUCAAAGGGCUCAAUGAUAAUGGUGAAGCCUGGUGGAGGAGGGAGGCCGGGGAGUCUCAGUCACUCAUCACCCAGGGACAGAACUGUGCCAGCCUGCCCAUGUCUACAAACGCUCAGGUGCAGAAACUGAGCUGUGGCUUCAUACAUGGUCCUGAAGGUAGGCCAAGCCCUCCAUUCCCCAGGCAGCUCUGUCCUCCAGCCUCUCACUCGUGCUCCCCACAGAGCAACCAGAGGCAUGCCAUGGAACCCCAAGUUUGCUAGUUUCCACACUCUUCCCAUGACUCCAGAAGGGCACCACGCACUCUGCCGGGCCCCCUUGCCCCGAGCUGCUGUGCCAGCUUCCACCUGGCUGAGUCCCUGCCCCGGAGGCCAGUGCCAUGGCUCCCUGCAGCACCGCUACACUUCCCAGGGUCACUUGGGACCAUCUUUGCCCCUCGUUCUCCCCAGACUGGGCUCCUGGAAGGGGAGGGAGAGGCUGUUUCUGACAGUGCUGGGCCUGGCCCCAUUCGCUGACUGAACAAAUGAAUACAUUCAUGGAUUCUGUUUCACUUGGCAAAAAAUGAUCAGGUCUUACGUGUCCAGCCCUUGCCAAGGACAUAGCAGGGACCAACACAGCCUCAGCCCCACCCACAAGGGCUCCCUUGUACUAGGGGAGACAGUUAUCCAUAGAGCAGUGAUCCCAGGCCCAGCAUAGGGUGGGCUGGGUGCCUUUCUGAGAGCUGAAGGACUCGGGCAGGUGAUAGGAGGCGUAGAUGAGGAGGCUUCGAUCCACCGUGAUGUGUUGUAGGUGGGGGGGAGGAAGAGACAAAGGCCAAAGGAAGGGGUGAGGUGAGGGCUGAACUGAAGGAAGCAGGCAGCUGCCAACAGCCUGCAGUGGGGCUGAUGGGGGGCAUCCUCCUUCUGAGGCCCAGGCCGGCCCACUGCAGAAUGCCAGCUGACCUGGUUUCCUGGCUACGACAGUAAUCCCCGGGGAUAAGCUUGAAAACUCAGUGUAGAGCUGGUGGGGGUGGGGCAGCACACAACACGUGGACAGAGGAAACGUGACAGAUGGACCCAAGUGACAGCCUCCAGAAGGUCCUGGGAGGCAGGCCUCUGUGCAUCAUCAGCCUGUACCCGUCUCCCUUGAGGGCUCAUGCCCAGUGCCAUGCUUCUCCACCCUGGCCUCGUCCUCCCACAGCUCUCCCAGCACACUCUCCUGUCCUCAUGGUCUAGAGCUCCACAUCUCCCUGCGACAUGAACCUCCAAAGCAACAAUCUCACCAAGUGCAUCCCUUGCCCAGAACCUGCCAUGGCUCCCUGGUGCGCUCAGUCAUACACGAGAACUCCUCACCCGACUGAUGGUGAGGUGACCCCUAGUGUCCUUCUGGUCAGUGCCACAGCACAGCCCACACUUGGUCCACUUGUGACCAGAGGAGCCUCUGAACAGGAGAAUCUGACCGUGAGGCUCCUCACUCAGGCACUCUGUAGGGUCUUCCCCCUACUAAUGCCCCACCCAUGUGGCUGAGCCCCCAAGUCCUGCUGUCAGAGCCCCAGGAGAGAGGCGAGCUCACCCUUGGCGUAAGUGCUGACAAGAGUGGCGAAGUUAGCAAGGAGUGUGAGCGGGGAGAAGUCGGCCAGAUCUGCAAUCUCCAGGGUGUGCAGCAGGGAGCGCAGGCGUUCAGCACAGAACCUGGGAGGCAAUGGAGUCAGGAGCGGGAAGCAGCAGCAGGCCCAACUCUCGCCAUGCUUCCCUGGGCACCUGGGCAUUGUGUGAAACUAUCCCACACUGUACAAGACCUCCAGAGCUACCACUCCAUGUUGGAGCUCAGCACAUUCAGUCAGUGCACAGGCUCACCGCUCACAUGCAAUAUCCUGUUAAGACUCACGGCGAGGCAGAGGCAGGUGGAUCUUCUGUGAGUUUGAGGCCUGCCUGGUCGAUGAAGCAAGUUCCAGGUUUUUUUGAGACAGAAACCCUGUCUCAAAAAAACACAACGAGGGACUGGAGACAUGGCUCAGCAGUUAAGAGCCCUGGCUGCUUGCUCUUCCAGAGGUCGAGUUCAAAUCCCACCAACCACAUGGUGGCUCACAACCAUCUGUACAGCUACAGUGUACUCAUAUACAUAAAACAAAUCUACAAAAAAACAACAAAAAAAAAAAAACCCACGAACUAGAAGUGGAAAGAAAACCCCAACAAAGUUGUCCCCUGACCUCCACAUACGGAACCCCUUCCCUCCACUACUGUCACUGCCAGGAAUACCUCCAGAGUCUUCCUAUACACAGCCCUGGCUAGCCUGGAACUCACUUACAGACGUAACCGUAAUUACUGUCACAGGAUGUGCCAGGAUGGAACCCAGAGUUUCACCCAUACCAACGGAGCGGCAUUCCUCGCCUCGUUCUUUACAAUGGUUGUUAGCACACGGUCUCGCGGUGUCGCCCCGGCUGGCCCAGGCGAUGCUCCUGCCUGGGUCUUCCGGGUGCUGGGAGAGCAAGGCCCGGGCCCCGACCAGGACGUCAGCCUGCCGGGAGGCAUCGGAGGACACCCACCUUGGCGUCCAGCGUGCGCUUGAGCUCCAGCAUGUAGGAGAACUGCUCCGGGUAGAUGUAGUCGUACGGGAAGUAGACCAGCAGCCCGUCCACGUUGAGCCUGGCGGCGGUGAGGCGUCGGUGCCCGGUGCGCUCGAGCGGACCCGGCCUCCGCGCCGC